GCGAGCCUCGGUUUCCACACUUGGAACCGUUUUAGCCAGCCUGGGGCUGCCUUUGGAGUCGCAGCUGCUUGCGCCUUCUCUCCUGAGGGGGCUUUUCCGAGGAAAGUUCUUCAGAGCUCCAUCUCACUUCAGGGAUCCGCUCCCCAUCAGAAGUACCCUGCUUUGGUCUACUUCAGAAGCUGCAAGUAGGCUGUGGUAAAGCAGAAAAUCCAGAAGAAUCCACACUCUGAACCAUAUAUCUUUUGGAUACCCAAUGCCUGGACUCCACUAUAGACCUACCAGACAUCUAACUCUGCUUUCGCAAGACCCACUCAUGACCUUGUCCACCUACUUUCCCAGAAGAGGCUCUUGUGAGUAAACUCUUGAGGCAACUGAAACCAGAUUGACCCAAGGACUGUUUAGCUUCUCUCGCUCCUGGAUGCCUUCCAACAUUGCCCUUUCAUUUUUUGCUAGAUUUAUGCUUCUACAGAAUACACAUUGUUUAGAAAAAUAUACAUAAGUGGUUAACCUAUCAAGAAAAUCAAGAGAAUGAUUAGCACAAAAGUCAAGAUAAUGAUUACUUCUGGGGACGAGGUUGGAGGUUUUAUUUAGGAAAGAAUAUUUGGAAGACUUUUGAGGUACUGGUUAAUGUUCUAUUAAUCUUUGUGAUAAGUAUGUGGGUGUUAAACAUACUAUAUUUUCAACUUUACAUGUAUUUAAAAUACUCCUCCAUACAUAUAAUACACUUUACAAUAAAAAUUUGCAUACCAAGCAGAGCCACCCUGUGAAAUAUUGAAAUCAUAUGUUCAUAUGUACUUUCUGGGCCUUGAACAGAGGGAACUAUGAAGAGGGACAUCAGGUUCUCCCUCUGUCACAGCCCUAAUCAAGAUGCAGCAGGAAUAACAAAAUACCCAACCAGCAGUAUGAUGCUGAGAUUUUUCACACCACUUUAAUAAAUUGGUUUCACAGCACGUGGAAUCCUGUUGUAAUAACCUGGAUUCCAUG